AAGGGGCAAUGCCAUGGCGGCGAGAACGGCUCCAAAUCGUUCUGCGGUGGGUUCGAUUCCCACGCCCCUUGCCA
rnacentral:tRNA from 2 species